rnacentral:rRNA from 1 species
AUGGCGUCCACAGCUAUGGCGCCUCUCGAGAGCUUGAAGAUUCUAGUCCUCGAACAUCUGCCUUGCUGGACCCAACUCCCAGAUGGCUUGUGUAGGCUCCCGUAUUUGGAGUGGAUAAAAGUGGACGGGGCUCCAGUAAUCAAGUGUGUCGGUCCUGAAUUCAUUCAACUGUACAAUCAGCUGCACCGUCCUUCAUCUCAGUUGGCUGUUACGUUUCCCAAACUCCAGAAGUUGAAUUUGUAUGGAAUGGAGCAAUGGCAGGAGUGGGUUUGGGAGACAGAAGUGAAAGCUAUGCCCUUAUUGGAGGAUCUUCGCAUCAGUUAUUGCAAACUGGGCCGUAUGCCUGCAGGACUUGUGUCCCAUGCAAAGGCUUUGAAGAAGCUUGAAAUAUGGAACGUCCAAUGUCUCCACUCUCUAGAGAACUUUGUUUCUGUAGUUGAGCUCGACUUGGGAAACAUACCCGAACUGGCUUGA